GUGCCAGCCGCCGCGGUAAUACGAAGGGGCUAGCGUUGUUCGGAUUUACUGGGCGUAAAGCGCACGUAGGCGGACUUUUAAGUCAGGGGUGAAAUCCCGGGGCUCAACCCCCGGAACUGCCUUUGAUACUGGGAGUCUUGAGUAUGGAAGAGGUGAGUGGAAUUCCGAGUGUAGAGGUGAAUUCGUAGAUAUUCGGAGGAAACACCAGUGGCGAAGGCGGCUCACUGGUCCAUUACUGACGCUGAGGUGCGAAAGCGU
rnacentral:rRNA from 1 species